UCUCAUUACGCACUUUUUUUUCGGAAAAGGUGUAAUGAACGUUGAGACGGGUAGGAAGGUCGCGACAGUGUUGCUUUGAAGAGUUUUGAGCGUGAGCUCGCUCGGAGCCGCUGUUGGUGCAGAUCUUGGUGGUAGUAGCAAAUAUUCAAGUGAGAACCUUGAAGGCUGAAGUGGAGCAAGGUUCCAUGUGAACAGCAGUUGGACAUGGGUCAGUCGAUCCUAAGAAAACGGCGAAAGCUUGUUCGAAUUUGCGACAUGAAUUGUAAGACUGUGUGUUUAUUGUGUGUGUGCAGUUGUCGUAUGUUUUCGAAAGGGAAUCCGGUUGAUAUUCCGGAACCGAGUAACGGAGACAAAGAGUAGCGCUUUAAUCUCUCUGUGGGGUUGGCGUUCAACUCAAUCGCGCGGUAACGCAAGCGAACUCGGAAAAUGACCGUCGUGAGUUUCGAAAAGAGUUUUCUUUUCUUUUUAAGGGACGCAUUCCCUGGAACCGGGUUGUCCGGAGAUAGGGAUUC
rnacentral:rRNA from 1 species